GCGGCGGCGUCCUCGAAACUGGGUAACUCGAGUGGCAGAAGAGGAGAGAGGAAUUCCACGUGUAGCGGUGAACAGCGUAGAGAUGUGGAGGAACACCAGUGGGGACAGUCGACUCUCUGGUCUGUAACUGACGCUGAGGAGCGAAAGCGUGGGGAGCGAACAGGAUUCGAUACCCUGGUAGUCCACGCCGUAAACGAUGAGUGCUAAGUGUUAGGGGGUUUCCGCCCCUUAGUGUUGCAGCUAACGCAUUAAGCACUCCGCCUGGGGACGACGGUCGCAAGACUGAAAUUCAAAGGAAUUGACGGGGGCCCGCACAAGCGGUGGAGCAUGUGGUUUAAUUUGAAGCAACGCGAAGAACCUUACCAGGUCUUGACAUCCUCUGACAAUCCUAGAGAUAGGACGUCCCCUUCGGGGGCAGAGUGACAGGUGGUGCAUGGUUGUGGUCAGCUCGUGUCGUGAGAUGUUGGGUUAAGUCCCGCAACGAGCGCAACCCUUGAUCUUAGUUGCCAGCAUUCAGUUUAACACUUUCGGGUGAACGGCGGUGACAAACCGGAGGAAGGUGGGGAUGACGUCAAAUCAUCAUCCCCCAUAUUACCUGGGUUCCACACGUGGUGCAAUGGACAGAACAAAGGGCAGCGAAACCGCGAGGUUAAGCCAAUCCCACAAAUCUGUUCUCAGUUCGGAUCGCAGUCUGCAACUCGACUGCGCAAGCUGGAGUCCCUAGUAAUCGCGGACCAGAUAAAUCUCCGGU
rnacentral:rRNA from 1 species